AUUGAACGCUGGCGGCAUGCUUUACACAUGCAAGUCGAACGGUAACAGGCCUUCGGGUGCUGACGAGUGGCGAACGGGUGAGUAAUGCAUCGGAACGUGCCCAGAGGUGGGGGAUAACGCAGCGAAAGCUGUGCUAAUACCGCAUGUGAUCUGAGGAUGAAAGCGGGGGACCAGGCAGCAAUGUUUGGCCUCGCGCCUUUGGAGCGGCCGAUGUCAGAUUAGGUAGUUGGUGGGGUAAAGGCCUACCAAGCCGACGAUCUGUAGAUGGUAUGAGAGGACGACCAGACACACGGGGACUGAGACACGGCCGAGACACCUAGGGGAGGAAGCAGUGGGGAAUUUUGGACAAUGGGGGCAAGGCUGAUCCAGCAAAGCCGCGGGCGGGAAGAAGGAGUUAGGGUUGUAAACCGCUUAUGUACGGAACGAAAAGGAUCUGGCUAAUACCUGGGGAUGAUGACGGUACCGUAAGAAUAAGCACCGGCUAACUACGUG
rnacentral:rRNA from 1 species